rnacentral:lncRNA from 1 species
UGUCACUUAGAAAAUUUUUGGCUAAUCGAAAAAAAUUUUUCGUCAUAGACCGACUUAGAAAGGUUCAAAACGCAUAUUAACGGAGAUAGGUUUGGCUCAGGGGAAUUUUAAAGCACAUUUUCACAUUGCUAUCAUAGCACUGAGCCGUAUGCAAAUCAAUCCUUGCCCGUCUCGAUUACUAUAAAUUACACUAGCUUGCCCGUUGCCCAGAUUACGGAGUCAAAUAAAGCUAGGCUUGUCACUCAGAAAAUUUUUGGCUGAUUGAAAAAAUUUUUUCGUCAUAGACCGACUUAGAAAGGUUCAAAACGCAUAUUAACGGAGAUAGGUUUGGCUCAGGGGAAUUUUAAAGCACAUUUUCACAUUGCUAUCAUACCACUGAGCCGUAUGCAAAUCAAUCCUUGCCCGUCCCGAUUACUAUAAAUUACACUACGCUUGCCCAGAUUACGGAGUCAAAUAAAGCUAGGCUUGUCACUUAGAAAAUUUUUGGCUGAUCGAAAAAAAUUUUCCGUCAUAGCCCGACUUAGAAAGGUUCAAAACGCAUAUUAACGGAGAUAGGUUUGGCUCAGGGGAAUUUUAAAGCACAUUUUCAGAUUGCUAUCAUAGCACUGAGCCGUAUGCAAAUCAAUCCUUGCCCGUCUCGAUUACUAUAAAUUACACUAGCUUGCCCGUUGCCCAGAUUACGGAGUCAAAUAAAGCUAGGCUUGUCACUUAGAAAAUUUUUGGCUGAUCGAAAAAAUUUUUUCGUCAUAGACCGACUUAGAAAGGUUCAAAACGCAUAUUAACGGAGAUAGGUUUGGCUCAGGG